CUCUUUGGCACAAUAAUAAACAGCUGAAUCCUCAGUUGUCAAGCUGCUCAUCUGCAGAUACACCUGCUUUCUGCUGUUGUCUCUGGAGAUGGUAAACCGGCCUCUGACUGACUGAGAGUAGUAGAUGGUGCUACUGCCACUGCUGAUCCAAGCAAUCCAUUCCAG